UGGUGACUGUCAUCCCUUAUCCCCACUUCAGCCAACCACCAGGGUCACCACCAAGCUAUCCUGAGAGUCUCUUGAUUCAUUUGAAUUCUUUUUUAGAGUGGGUUAAAGCAGUGGUCAACAGCUGAUUAUUCUCCACGACCAAGAAAAGAUCCUUCUGAAUUCUCUACCUAUGAAUCCUGAGGUUUUACAGCCUGGCUGGCGGGAACAGAACCUCAAGCUUCAAUUCACUGUCCAGGCCUGAAGAUCCAAGAGGAGCUUCAAGCUGGGACUGCACCUCCAUGGAUCCACCACGGAGUGUUACCACAACUUUGAAUUCUGAUUCCUCCCUGAUUCCAAUCAAAGAAAUGUUCCCAAAAGUUUCAUCAACCUCCCAACCAUCCUUCUCCAAAAUGCAAAACCUAGACCUCAUUAACUUCAACCCCAGUCCUGGAAGCAACUACCUCACCACUCUACCAGACGGGCGGCUCCAACCACACUACAGAGAUGAGAUGACACACCAGGAGACACAGUGGGAAAGGUCAGCAUUCCCUCAGAGGAAAAAGAUUUUCACGGGGAACAUGAGACAGAAAAUCUUCAAUCAUAUGGCACCUUAUUAGGUUGAAAGGAAAGGAAAAACCCCUCCCUUAUGUGAUAAGGAUCAGAAUAGAUAUAAAUGUAAUUACUGCCAGAUGCAUAGGCAGUGUAUCUCUAGUAACCCUAAUGAGCAGAAUCCAUCCUCUUCAAAAAUGCUAGUACAAGGCCUUAGCCGCUUGCCCCUCAGCCCUGGUACCAUACCAGAAGAGCUGCCCCAAGAGCAGUAAACAGAGAAAAGCUAUCACAAGGGGCAGAAGAAAAGCAGAAGAAUUUUCAGAGGCUCCUAAAAUAAUAGUUGCAAUAAAUCUAAGACUCUCAUACUCAUGUGAUGAGAUCAAAAUUGA